UUAACCCUCAUUUCAUUUCAUUUCCGCCGCUCAUCUAUUCUCACUCCUCACCUACAAAAGCUCUCGCAUCUUUGUCUCUCACCAUCGCCGCUCAGCUCCGUUCAUCGCUCAGUCUUCUCCGUCUGCGCCUCUCUACCCGUGGCUCGUCAUCGACAUACUAUACGGAAGAUAUUCCUUCUCGUUCUCUCCCUCAUGGAUCAGAAGCCAAAUUCUUCGUUUACUCGUAGGGCGUCAGUGAACUAUACAAAGACACCUUCUCGCGAAUCUUUGUAUAACAAGAGGUAAAAAUGUAAAAUAGGUCACUUCUCGACUUCCGCAGAUCAAAUUUCUGUUGUCCAGCAACACAAACAGAAGACAGAAGACAUGGAAAGAUGAAGAACAGAACCAGCUAAUUAAAGAAUGUUGUACAGAGCCAGAAGAAACUGAGUGAAUCCCCCCUUCUACCUCAGUGCCUCUGAUGUUGAUAAUUUAAACAAUCCAUUGGCUGUAGACAAUAAUCCUCAGCUAAAGCCUUGUAACCCAGCUGUUGGUGGGCUUGCAAAGUCCCAGCUCGUACCUGAAGUGGACGCAUUAGGUGGUGAAAUUGGAAAGGUAGCUGACAGAGGCCAAGAUGUACUCCCAUGAACUUAAUGGGAGGUUUUUUGAAUGCGGACUUUCAUUUGUGUUAGGGAAAUAUGUCAGCUCAUUAUACAACAAGAUGAGUUUUACGAGGCAAAAAAAAACCAUCUAAAUUAUGGCUGUGUACUCAUCAAGCUUUGGAUUUCUUUUUCUUGCUCUUCUUUGUGGAAACUUGGCUGGGUGCUGUAUCAACAUCCAUAGACUCAUCUGCAUCUCCAGUAGAGAUUGAUACCAAACUGAAAUAGUUGUUUUAUAUGGGCUAAUAUACCGGAACAAUUGCAAAUGGAUGUACAACCGAUUGAUGCCAAGAAAGAGGGGGUACACUGAUGAGUUCUUAGCAGGUAUUUUUAAAGAUAUUUUCUUAAUCAGACUAAAGAGCAAGAUCAAGGAUCUGGAGUCAGAAAAUGAGCUUCUCCUCGCUCAAAGAGUAGUUGUAGAGCAUGUAGCAAACUCAGGCCAAGCAGAUUCAGCAUUAAAGCAAAUUGAAAACAGAUGCCAAGUUCAUGAAGAUGUGAAGACAGAGGAAGUGCAACAAGUGACAAAAGUUGAGCAACAAAUAAUAAAGAGGCAGCAGGCAAGUAGUAGAAACAUAUGAGAAGAAGAAAGAAGAAAGUAGCACAAAAGAUAUCUAAGCUGCCUAAUAGUGAAAAUGCCUAAUCUUCAGAAGGACAAUGGACACUGAUGAUGGAACAGGCUACUUUCAUACUGCAAAUGUGUCCUGGGAACUUGUGUCUUUCGUGUCUAUACAUUUAGAAUUAAGAGACUAAUAGAAAUGUCAUAUUUUGACUUGUUUUAAUUUUCAAUUGUAUAUCGAUGAAAUGAAUUUUCUUCAAGCAUAUGAAAUGUGUAUUUUAUAUUUU